GGAAUCUUCCACAAUGGACGAAAGUCUGAUGGAGCAACGCCGCGUGAGUGAAGAAGGGUUUCGGCUCGUAAAACUCUGUUGUUAAAGAAGAACAUAUCUGAGAGUAACUGUUCAGGUAUUGACGGUAUUUAACCAGAAAGCCACGGCUAACCACGUGCCAA
rnacentral:rRNA from 1 species